rnacentral:rRNA from 1 species
AACGAACGCUGGCGGCAUGCCUAACACAUGCAAGUCGAACGAAGGCUUCGGCCUUAGUGGCGCACGGGUGCGUAACGCGUGGGAAUCUGCCCUUGGGUUCGGAAUAACAGCUGGAAACGGCUGCUAAUACCGGAUGAUGACCAACGUCCAAAGGUUUAUCGCCAGAGGAUGAGCCCGCGUUGGAUUAGGUGGUUGGUGGGGUAAAGGCGUACGAAGCCGACGAUCCAUAGCUGGUCUGAGAGGAGGGGCAGCCACACUGGGGGUGGGCCACGGCCCGGACUCGUACGGGAGGGGGCAGUGGGGAAUAGUGGACAGGGGGGGCAGGGCUGAUGGAGCAAGGCCGGGUGAGCGAUGAAGGCGGGGGGGUUGGGAAGCUCGUUUACCCGGGAAGGUAAUGACUGUACCGGGAGAAUAAGCCCCGGCUAACUCCGUG